GACGAACGCUGGCGGCGUGCUUAACACAUGCAAGUCGAACGCUGAAGCUCAGCUUUUGUUGGGUGGAUGAGUGGCGAACGGGUGAGUAACACGUGAGUAACCUGCCCCCUUCUUUGGGAUAACGCCCGGAAACGGGUGCUAAUACUGGAUAUUCACUGGUCUUCGCAUGGGGGUUGGUGGAAAGGGUUGUUCUGGGGGGGGAUGGGCUCGCGGCCUAUCAGCUUGUUGGUGAGGUGAUGGCCUACCAAGGCGUUGACGGGGGGCCGGACUGAGAGGGGGACCGGGCACGUUGGGGGUGAGAUAGGGACCAGGCUACUGCGCGAGGUAGCAGUGGGGAAAACUGCGCGAUAGGCGCCAGCCUGGUCCGGCGACGGCGCGUGCGGGAUGGAGGGCUUGGGGUUGGGAACCUCUUUCGCUCAUGGUUAAGCCGCAACAGUAGUGGGGGUGAGGGUAGUGGGUAAAGAAGCGCCGGCUAACUACGUG
rnacentral:rRNA from 1 species